UGGGGAAUUUUGGACAAUGGGCGCCAGCCUGAUCCAGCCAUGCCGCGUGCAGGAUGAAGGCCUUCGGGUUGUAAACUGCUUUUGUACGGAACGAAAAGACUCCUUCUAAUAAAGGGGAUCCAUCACGGUACUGUAAGCAUAAGCACCGGCUAACUACGUGCCAGCAGCCGCGGUAAUACGUAGGGUGCGAGCGUUAAUCGGAAUUACUGGGCGUAAAGCGUGCGCAGGCGGUUAUGUAAGACAGAUGUGAAAUCCCCGGGCUCAACCUGGGAACUGCAUUUGUGACUACAUGGCUAGAGUCCGGUAGAGGAGGAGGGAAUUCCGGGUGUAGCAGUGAAAUGCGUAGAUAUGCGAAGGAACACCGAUGGCGAAGGCAAUCCCCUGGACCUGUACUGACGCUCAUGCACGAAAGCGUGGGGAGCAAACA
rnacentral:rRNA from 1 species